UAUCUCUCUUUUUUUGCGUAAUUACUU
rnacentral:piRNA from 1 species